AACAUUUUUUUUAAAGAGUCGGACAGUUAACCGAAUGAGCCACCCAGGAGCUGCAGGAAGCUGCCUUUCAACAUGAAGGAGGUACAGUCUUUCCCUCCAUUACUUGGCCGUGAUUAGAAUCCAUGCACAUAUGAACAAAACCAGUCCUGGUUUAUGCCUGAGUCCAGCAUGAAUUUUGACGGUUUCCCCCCGCAUCACCAUCAUUCUCAAAACGUUCCAAACUGGACAUUAAAUGUUCUGAUCACCUUUCUCUAGAUGAGUCCCCCCCAAAGUCUCGUCCACGCUUUCUCCGAAAGACCCACUUCUCUUAGGCUGAGAAGCCCCAGAACCUGCCUUCUAAUUGCACCCUUGUUGCGAGUCUGACAAACACAUCUGAUAGCUCACGCCCCGGGGGGACAUUGGUCAGUAGCCUUGGACUUCUCAGCUUAAUUGCCCUAGCUUUAAUGCCACUUAAAUCAGAAUGUAAGCACUGAAAGAAUUUCAGGAAUCCGAUGAUAUAAAUUGUAUUUUUAGAGCUGAGAAUGAGUUGAGCUAGUGACACAGUGCAGCGCCUAAAGAUAGAUCUCUUUAGUUUUCCCAUGAUUUAUCACAGGCGAGUUCACAGCAGGUUAAAAUAAUUGAAUGCGCUGAUAGCAUGCAUAUUGGCACGGUUUUAUGAGCAGUCAUUCAUAACAUAUUUGUCACGAAGCAUAGCUUCCAGGAUGGAACCCUGAUCCGCAGGCAGUGUUUUAGCCUCCACGACGCAGUGGAAUUAACUCCUCUGUGGAGCCUGGCCACGUCGUCACGGUGUCCGGCCCCCAGCUAGAGCUGCGGGGAAAAGGAUCAAGGGAAUGACUGGUCCGCCAAACAAACCCGGCAGCAGCUCGCCUGAAGUCAGCGUUGUAGCCUGGAAAAGGCUGGAUGAGCCUUUGCUCACCACUGGACAUAAAAAAUAAUCUGCAUGUUCGAAAAGGAUGUGCUGAACUCGUGACCUGUAAUAAACGGUUACUGCUCAGUCUUUAAAACGCAGGAAUCUCCACACCCAACGUGGGGCUCGAACUCACAGCCCGAGAUCAAGAGUCACACACUCCGCCGACCGAGCCAGCCAGGCGCCCCUCUUUCAGUUUUUAACACAUGAUACUCAAAGGGGUUCUUUCACACCAAAAUCUAUAAUGAUGAAAAUGAAGGAGUUAUUUGGGAGUAAGUGUGUCCAUUAUUUAUAUACUCUGGAAGGAAAUGCAUGCUGGUCACAAAACCAUUGACUGAAGCCACUGUCAACAAGAAACUCUAAUAAUAUGGCCCCGGUAGGGUUUUUUAAGUGUUUUUUUUUUCUCUCCCCCCAGCUUUAUCGGGGUAUAAUUGACGAACAAAAUAGUGAGAUAUUUAAUGUAUACAAUGUGAUCAUUUGAUAGACGUGUAUGUUGUGAAAGGGAUUCACCCCAUCACGUAACACAUCCCUCUCCUUUAUUUGUGAUUUGUUGGUGAGAACAUAUAAGUUCUAUUCUCUUAGCAAUUUUCAGUGGUGCAAUACAACAUUAUCCACACAGUCAUCGUGUUAUACAUUAAAUUCUCCUAUCUUAUUUAUUUUACAACCAUCUCUCCCUACUUCCCCCCCUCCCCGUCCCUGACCACUUUAUAAGCCUCUGUUUCUGAGCUCAACUUUUUUGGGGUUUUGUUUUGAGACUCUUCCUACUUCGCACUCCCUCCAGUAGGCAGAUUCUUUUUUUUAAUGUUUAUUUUUGAGAGAGAACACAAGCUUUAUUUUUGAGAGAAAGAGAGAGCACAAGUGGGGAAGGGACAGAGAGAGAGAGAGAGAGAGAAACAGAAUCCGAAGCGGGCUCCAGGCUCUGAGCUGUCAGCACAGAGCCUGACGCAGGGCUCGAACUCAUGAACCCUGAGCUGAAGUCAGAUGUAACCGACUGAGCCACCCAGGCGCCCCUCCAGUAGGCAGAUUCUUGAUGUCCUGGAAGGAAAGUGUCUUCAUCUUGGGCUUUUCCACCUCCUCCUCCUCCUCCUCACCCUUAUGCCCAGAGGCACGUAACCUGAUGUGGAUAAAUAGGUUCAGAAACCUCUGGAAACUGCAUGUCAACUUGUGUGUACUUGCAUAUUUGCAGUGGGAGCAGGACGCUCAGCAGAUUCUCAAAAAGGUCUGUGCUCCUUAAAACUGCUGCCCUGCUGGUUUGUACUUCAGCCAUGCAGACACCCACCCCCAGGCCACACACACAGGGUUAUCUUGUUGCCUCCAAGUCUACCAGGGGACAAGGAGAGAAGGCAUCCCGGGUAGAGAGAAGCGCCGCGAACCUGGUAAACUCCUGCUUUGCUUCAAUAUUUCAGCACAAAACCUGUCUUCUCUGUAAAACUGACCCCUCCGAGCAGAUGGGGGCUUUCUUUGUUCAGUUUAAGCUGCCUGCACCUUGGUUCAUCAUACUGCAUUGUCACUGUUUGCCUGUGUUGUGAUUGACUUUUCGUAUACGUAUCACCUAUGACCACAACUGGCACAUUCCAGUGAGCUUCCAGUGGGUGGGCAUAUGGAUGAUGGAUGGAUGGAUGGAUGGAUGGAUGGACGGACGGACAGAUGGAUGGAUAGAUGGAUGAAGGAUGGAUAGAUGG